CCUAAGGCGAGGCUGAGAAGCGUAGUCGAUGGGAAACAGGUUAAUAUUCCUGUACUUGGUAAAGCUGCGAUGUGGGGACGGAGUAGGUUAGGUUAUCGCACUGUUGGAUAUGUGCGUUUAAGUUGGUAGGUGGGAAGUUUAGGCAAAUCCGGACUUCCUUAACACAGAGAGAUGAUGACGAGGCUCUACGGAGCUGAAGUAACUGAUACCACACUUCCAGGAAAAGCCACUAAGCGAAAGGCUUUACUAAACCGUACUGAAAACCGACACAGGUGGUCAGGUAGAGAAUACUCAGGCGCUUGAGAGAACUCGGGUGAAGGAACUAGGCAAAAUAGCACCGUAACUUCGGGAGAAGGUGCGCCGGCGUAGAUUGUAGUCCCUCGCGGGCGAAGGUUGAACCGGUCGAAGAUACCAGCUGGCUGCAACUGUUUAUUAAAAACACAGCACUCUGCAAACACGAAAGUGGACGUAUAGGGUGUGAUGCCUGCCCGGUGCUGGAAGGUUAAUUGAUGGUGUCAUCGCAAGAGAAGCACCUGAUCGAAGCCCCAGUAAACGGCGGCCGUAACUAUAACGGUCCUAAGGUAGCGAAAUUCCUUGUCGGGUAAGUUCCGACCUGCACGAAUGGCAUAAUGAUGGCCAGGCUGUCUCCACCCGAGACUCAGUGAAAUUGAAAUCGCCGUGAAGAUGCGGUGUACCCGCGGCUAGACGGAAAGACCCCGUGAACCUUUACUAUAGCUUGACACUGAACAUUGAAUUUUGAUGUGUAGGAUAGGUGGGAGCCUUUGAAGCAGUGACGCCAGUCAUUGUGGAGGCGACCUUGAAAUACCACCCUUUAACGUUUGAUGUUCUAACGAAGAUGACGAAACGUGGUCUCGGACAGUGUCUGGUGGGUAGUUUGACUGGGGCGGUCUCCUCCCAAAGCGUAACGGAGGAGCACGAAGGUUUGCUAAUCACGGUCGGACAUCGUGAGGUUAGUGCAAUGGUAUAAGCAAGCUUAACUGCGAGACAGACAAGUCGAGCAGGUACGAAAGUAGGUCAUAGUGAUCCGGUGGUUCUGAAUGGAAGGGCCAUCGCUCAACGGAUAAAAGGUACUCCGGGGAUAACAGGCUGAUACCGCCCAAGAGUUCAUAUCGACGGCGGUGUUUGGCACCUCGAUGUCGGCUCAUCACAUCCUGGGGCUGAAGUAGGUCCCAAGGGUAUGGCUGUUCGCCAUUUAAAGUGGUACGCGAGCUGGGUUUAGAACGUCGUGAGACAGUUCGGUCCCUAUCUGCCGUGGGCGUUGGAUGAUUGAUUGGGGCUGCUCCUAGUACGAGAGGACCGGAGUGGACGCAUCACUGGUGUUCCAGUUGUCUCGCCAGAGGCAUUGCUGGGUAGCUAAAUGCGGAAGAGAUAAGUGCUGAAAGCAUCUAAGCACGAAACUUGCCAAGAGAUGAGUCAUCCCUGACUUUAAGUCAGUAAGGGUUGUUGUAGACUACGACGUAGAUAGGUCAGGUGUGUAAGUGUAGUGAUACAUUGAGCUAACAGAUACUAAUUGCCCGAGAGGCUUAACUAUACAACGCUCAAG
rnacentral:rRNA from 1 species